CUUUUACAAUGAAGAGUUUGAUCCUGGCUCAGGAUGAACGCUAGCUACAGGCUUAACACAUGCAAGUCGAGGGGCAGCAUUUCAGUUUGCUUGCAAACUGGAGAUGGCGACCGGCGCACGGGUGAGUAACACGUAUCCAACCUGCCGAUAACUCGGGGAUAGCCUUUCGAAAGAAAGAUUAAUACCCGAUGGCAUAAUUAGACCGCAUGGUCUUAUUAUUAAAGAAUUUCGGUUAUCGAUGGGGAUGCGUUCCAUUAGGCAGUUGGUGAGGUAACGGCUCACCAAACCUUCGAUGGAUAGGGGUUCUGAGAGGAAGGUCCCCCACAUUGGAACUGAGACACGGUCCAAACUCCUACGGGAGGCAGCAGUGAGGAAUAUUGGUCAAUGGACGAGAGUCUGAACCAGCCAAGUAGCGUGAAGGAUGACUGCCCUAUGGGUUGUAAACUUCUUUUAUAUGGGAAUAAAGUUUUCCACGUGUGGAAUUUUGUAUGUACCAUAUGAAUAAGGAUCGGCUAACUCCGUGCCAGCAGCCGCGGUAAUACGGAGGAUCCGAGCGUUAUCCGGAUUUAUUGGGUUUAAAGGGAGCGUAGGUGGACAGUUAAGUCAGUUGUGAAAGUUUGCGGCUCAACCGUAAAAUUGCAGUUGAUACUGGCUGUCUUGAGUACAGUAGAGGUGGGCGGAAUUCGUGGUGUAGCGGUGAAAUGCUUAGAUAUCACGAAGAACUCCGAUUGCGAAGGCAGCUCACUGGACUGCAACUGACACUGAUGCUCGAAAGUGUGGGUAUCAAACAGGAUUAGAUACCCUGGUAGUCCACACAGUAAACGAUGAAUACUCGCUGUUUGCGAUAUACAGUAAGCGGCCAAGCGAAAGCGUUAAGUAUUCCACCUGGGGAGUACGCCGGCAACGGUGAAACUCAAAGGAAUUGACGGGGGCCCGCACAAGCGGAGGAACAUGUGGUUUAAUUCGAUGAUACGCGAGGAACCUUACCCGGGCUUAAAUUGCAUUUGAAUAAUCUGGAAACAGGUUAGCCGCAAGGCAAAUGUGAAGGUGCUGCAUGGUUGUCGUCAGCUCGUGCCGUGAGGUGUCGGCUUAAGUGCCAUAACGAGCGCAACCCUUGUUGUCAGUUACUAACAGGUUCCGCUGAGGACUCUGACAAGACUGCCGUCGUAAGAUGUGAGGAAGGUGGGGAUGACGUCAAAUCAGCACGGCCCUUACGUCCGGGGCUACACACGUGUUACAAUGGGGGGUACAGAAGGCAGCUACCUGGUGACAGGAUGCUAAUCCCAAAAGCCUCUCUCAGUUCGGAUCGGAGUCUGCAACCCGACUCCGUGAAGCUGGAUUCGCUAGUAAUCGCGCAUCAGCCAUGGCGCGGUGAAUACGUUCCCGGGCCUUGUACACACCGCCCGUCAAGCCAUGGGAGCCGGGGGUACCUGAAGUACGUAACCGCAAGGAGCGUCCUAGGGUAAAACUGGUAAUUGGGGCUAAGUCGUAACAAGGUAGCCGUACCGGAAGGUGCGGCUGGAACACCUCCUUUCU
rnacentral:rRNA from 1 species